GAUGAACGCUAGCGACAGGCCUAACACAUGCAAGUCGAGGGGCAGCACGGUGUAGCAAUACACGGGUGGCGACCGGCGCACGGGUGAGUAACGCGUAUGCAACCUGCCUACUACAAGGGGAUAACCCGUUGAAAGACGGACUAAUACCCUAUAACACAGGGAAUCCGCAUGGAUAUAUUUGUUAAAGAUUUAUCGGUAGUAGAUGGGCAUGCGUUCCAUUAGCUUGUUGGUGAGGUAACGGCUCACCAAGGCAACGAUGGAUAGGGGAACUGAGAGGUUGCUCCCCCACACUGGAACUGAGACACGGUCCAGACUCCUACGGGAGGCAGCAGUGAGGAAUGUUGGUCAAUGGACGAGAGUCUGAACCAGCCAAGUCGCGUGAAGGAAGACGGCCCUACGGGUUGUAAACUUCUUUUGUAAGGGAAUAAAUAGUCUUACGCGCUAAGACGUUGCAGGUACCUUACGAAUAAGGAUCGGCUAACUCCGUGCCAGCCGCCGCUGUAA
rnacentral:rRNA from 1 species